GUCAAAACUCUAAUUUGGCAUUUAAAUUAGAAAGAUCAUAUCAUAGGGCACAUGUAUACUAAGUUUCAAGUGGAUUGGACUUCAACUUCAUCAAAAACUACCUUGACCAAAAACUUUAACCUGAAGCCAAAAACUUUAACCUGAAAUUUGCACUAUCAUUUUCUAUGUUCAGUGAACCGUAAAAUUGGGGUCAAAACUCUAAUUUGGCAUUUAAAUUAGAAAGAUCAUAUCAUAGGGCACAUGUAUACUAAGUUUCAAGUUGAUUGGACUUCAACUUCAUCAAAAACUACCUUGACCAAAAACGUUAACCUGAAGCCAAAAACUUUAACCUGAAAUUUGCACUAUCAUUUUCUAUGUUCAGUGAACCGUAAAAUUGGGGUCAAAACUCUAAUUUGGCAUUUAAAUUAGAAAGAUCAUAUCAUAGG
rnacentral:lncRNA from 1 species